GAUGAACGCUAGCGGGAGGCCUAACACAUGCAAGUCGAACGGGAUUGGUAGCAAUACCAUGAGAGUGGCGCACGGGUGAGUAACGCGUAUGCAACCUGCCUUUAACUGAGGGAUAGCCCAUAGAAAUGUGGAUUAAUACCUCAUAGUUCCUUUUGAGUCGCAUGAUUUGGAAGAUAAAGCUCCGGCGGUUAAAGAUGGGCAUGCGUGACAUUAGCUAGUUGGUGAGGUAACGGCUCACCAAGGCUACGAUGUCUAGGGGUUCUGAGAGGAUGAUCCCCCACACUGGUACUGAGACACGGACCAGACUCCUACGGGA
rnacentral:rRNA from 1 species